CCUACGGGUGGCAGCAGUGGGGAAUAUUGCACAAUGGGGGAAACCCUGAUGCAGCGACGCCGCGUGAAGGAUGAAGGCUUUCGGUAUGUAAACUUCUAUCAGCAGGGAAGAAAAUGACGGUACCUGAACAAGAAGCCACGGCUAACUACGUGCCAGCAGCCGCGGUCAUACGGAGGGGGCAAGCGUUAUGCGGAUUUACUGGGGGUAAAGGGAGCGGAGACGGUAUGGCAAGUCUGAUGUGAAAACCCGGGGCUCAACCCCGGGACUGCAUUGGAAACUGCCGAACUAGAGUGUCGGAGAGGCAAGUGGAAUUCCGAGUGUAGCGGUGAAAUGCGUAGAGAUCAGGAGGAACACCAGUGGCGAAGGCGGCUUGCUGGACGAUGACUGACGUUGAGGUUCGAAAGCGUGGGGAGCAAACAGGAUUAGAUACCCGUGUAGUC
rnacentral:rRNA from 1 species